UACAGAGGUGACAAGCGUUGUUCGGAAUUACUGGGCGUAAAGGGCGCGUAGGCGGUCUUGUCAGUCCCUUGUGAAAUCCCCCGGCUCAACUGGGGAACUGCACGGGAAACAGCAGGGCUUGAGUUCGGGAGAGGGAAGCGGAAUUCCGGGUGUAGCGGUGAAAUGCGUAGAUAUCCGGAGGAACACCGGUGGCGAAGGCGGCUUCCUGGACCGAUACUGACGCUGAGGCGCGAAAGCUAGGGGAGCAAACGGG
rnacentral:rRNA from 1 species